CUGCAGAACCAAAGCUUUAAUUAGAAAACUUGAAUGAAAUAUUUGAUAAAAAAUGUGUUGAAAAGUCACAAUUUUCAUUGCCAACUCAUUUUGAUAUAAAAAGUUCUGAAGACCCAAUAUGUUUGUUACAAACUGUAAUUAAAGAAGACUGUGUUUUUGAGACAUCAAGUUAUUCAAGCAAGAAUUUUCCAAAAAAUGUUGGUGAAAGUCUUGCUACUGAGAAUUCAAUUUAUUCAAUUGAAAAUCAUCCAAAAGAAAUGAAGGUUUGUCCAGUAUGUAAAUGGGAAGUGGAUGAUCUUCCCUGUCAUGUG